CACAGAGUUGAAACCAAGGCACAGGAGAUGUUUAUACAAAGAAUUGCUACUACAGAGAGUUCUUACUUCCUCCUUGGAUGCACUACAACCUUUGGGGCAAUAGUUUCUAACAAGAGACCUUGAAGUUGUGAGAAAAGUUAAUGCAGAAAUAACAACUAUAACAGGGACGUUUUCACUGAAAGAAUUUUUCAGCACAGAUGAAGGGUGUAUUGGACAUUUCGUAUGGGGAUUUGACCGAGUUUUGUUAUAACACUUUCGACGCUAAUUAUGUUCACUAGGGGAAAAUUUUAAUAAUAUUAAUGUACACUUUUUUUAUUAACCUUUUGUUAAACGAAAAACAAAAAAGGAAAAACAUUUUUUAAACGGAUUUUUGAUUGUUAAUCAUAUAUGCUAAUUUAUUAAUUGAGCACUCUAUUUGUAUGGUUCGUGUAUUAAUUGAGCACUCUAUUUGUAUGGUUCGUGUCAUGGUUUUUACAUGCUUGACAAAGGGGCGUGACCCCUAAACGUUGCAUUCCGCACAAAUAAACGAGCAGGUAUACCCUGCAAUUUGAAUGCCUGUGUGACGAUCUUCUCUUGUUCUAAGAUUUAAAAGGUAUCACUACAGAGAUUAACUGGUCCCUGCAUUGUUAACACUUAAAAUUCAGACUGUAAUCCCUUGUAUUGUUGACACGUUCUCCUCCCUGUAUUGUUCCCACUUGUAACAACU